UGGUUGUACACAUGCACAUAGCCAAAAACAUGGUACUUUUGAACGUGUUCAUAAUUUUGGCAAUUUCAUGCAAAUGCUGAAUUGUAGAUUGGGUCACCAAAGACAAAGAAAAAUCUACUUAAAAUUUACAAUAUUUUGAUGCUAUGCUGUACCUACGUGAGUUGUCAUUUCGUAUGCCUCCUGUGGACACAUACUGGCGUUUAACUGAGUGUGUGGUCUUUCCUUGUUAUGUAUUUGCUGUGGUCUUUGGUUUUAUAUUACUAGCGGUUUGUAUUCUUGAAGAAUGGAGGUAUACCUGUAUAAUUGCUACAUUCUGACUAGUUUGACUCGAUUAAAACAUGAUCAUGAUUUUAACAUUUGAAUUUUAUCGUUGAUCAUUUGCAAUUUGAAACAUUGAUUUGUAAAACAGAGGGAAUUUAUGUUUCAGUAUCUGGAGCUUUGAUUGUACAUAAUGACUUGUUGGUAUUGUCCAUGGCUGGUAUUCUUGGGUUCUCAGAAAUGUUAAAGUGUUAUCACUAGUGAUGCACCAAUAUACAUAUUUAGCGAUAUACCAAUUAACAGAUAUUAAAAUGCCGAUAUUGUGCCGAUACCGAUA